GACAGAGGGUGCAAACGUUGCUCGGAAUCACUGGGCGUAAAGGGCGCGUAGGCGGGCUGUCAAGUCUGGGGUGAAAUCCCACGGCUCAACCGUGGAACUGCCUUAGAUACUGACGGCCUCGAGGGAGAUAGGGGCGAGCGGAACUGUGAGUGGAGCGGUGAAAUGCGUUGAUAUUCACAGGAACUCCGGUGGCGAAGGCGGCUCGCUGGAUCUUUUCUGACGCU
rnacentral:rRNA from 1 species